rnacentral:rRNA from 1 species
GACGAACGCUGGCGGCGUGCUUAACACAUGCAAGUCGAACGGAAAGGCCCUGCUUUUGUGGGGUGCUCGAGUGGCGAACGGGUGAGUAACACGUGAGUAACCUGCCCUUGACUUUGGGAUAACUUCAGGAAACUGGGGCUAAUACCGGAUAGGAGCUCCUGCUGCAUGGUGGGGGUUGGAAAGUUUCGGCGGUUGGGGAUGGACUCGCGGCUUAUCAGCUUGUUGGUGGGGUAGUGGCUUACCAAGGCUUUGACGGGUAGCCGGCCUGAGAGGGUGACCGGCCACAUUGGGACUGAGAUACGGCCCAGACUCCUACGGGAGGCAGCAGUGGGGAAUAUUGCACAAUGGGCGGAAGCCUGAUGCAGCAACGCCGCGUGCGGGAUGACGGCCUUCGGGUUGUAAACCGCUUUCGCCUGUGACGAAGCGUGAGUGACGGUAAUGGGUAAAGAAGCACCGGCUAACUACGUGCCAGCAGCCGCGGUGAUACGUAGGGUGCGAGCGUUGUCCGGAUUUAUUGGGCGUAAAGGGCUCGUAGGUGGUUGAUCGCGUCGGAAGUGUAAUCUUGGGGCUUAACCCUGAGCGUGCUUUCGAUACGGGUUGACUUGAGGAAGGUAGGGGAGAAUGGAAUUCCUGGUGGAGCGGUGGAAUGCGCAGAUAUCAGGAGGAACACCAGUGGCGAAGGCGGUUCUCUGGGCCUUUCCUGACGCUGAGGAGCGAAAGCGUGGGGAGCGAACAGGCUUAGAUACCCUGGUAGUCCACGCUGUAAACGGUGGGUACUAGGUGUGGGGUCCAUUCCACGGGUUCCGUGCCGUAGCUAACGCUUUAAGUACCCCGCCUGGGGAGUACGGCCGCAAGGCUGAAACUCAAAGGAAUUGACGGGGCCCCGCACAAGCGGCGGAGCAUGCGGAUUAAUUCGAUGCAACGCGUAGAACCUUACCUGGGUUUGACAUGGAUCGGGAGUGCUCAGAGAUGGGUGUGCCUCUUUUGGGGUCGGUUCACAGGUGGUGCAUGGCUGUCGUCAGCUCGUGUCGUGAGAUGUUGGGUUAAGUCCCGCAACGAGCGCAACCCUUGUUCACUGUUGCCAGCACGUUAUGGUGGGGACUCAGUGGAGACCGCCGGGGUCAACUCGGAGGAAGGUGGGGAUGACGUCAAGUCAUCAUGCCCCUUAUGUCCAGGGCUUCACGCAUGCUACAAUGGCUGGUACAGAGAGUGGCGAGCCUGUGAGGGUGAGCGAAUCUCGGAAAGCCGGUCUCAGUUCGGAUUGGGGUCUGCAACUCGACCUCAUGAAGUCGGAGUCGCUAGUAAUCGCAGAUCAGCAACGCUGCGGUGAAUACGUUCCCGGGGCU